rnacentral:misc_RNA from 1 species
AACAUCUACAACAUUUUGAAGAUUGUGAAUAGAAAGUUCCCCUUGUAGAUAUUGAAGUUUCCCCAAUUCUUUAAGACUAGAUCCAUUCCUCUCUCCUAUAAAGAAAUCACUUAAACUUUGGAGCUUCGUUAGCCUACCCAUUUGUGAUGGCAUUUCUUGUAAUCACAGAUCUCUAAUAUCAAGAUGGCACAGAUUGAUUAACCUUGCUAUGUGGGUUGGCAACUCAAUUAAACAUCUACACCUAUAUAAUAUUACAAUUUGCAGAUUGUACAAAGUAGAGACAAUUUCAGGCAACCUUUUUAUAGCUGCCCCUGAUAAGUUCAAAUAACGUAGAUGCUUCCAAUUUCCAACCACAUCUGACAAUUCAACUCUAUGAAUACGAUAAUACAGAUUCAACACUCUUAGAUACUUGAAUUUCGAUAAUAAGCCAAAUAUAAUCUCAUCAUCCAUUGCUUCAAUCCACCACCAUGCA